CAGCAGCCACGGUAAUGCGUAGGGUGCGAGCGUUAAUCGGAAUUACUGGGCGUAAAGCGUGCGCAGGCGGUUCGUUAAGACAGAUGUGAAAUCCCCGGGCUUAACCUGGGAACUGCAUUUGUGACUGUAUAGCUAGAGUACGGUAGAGGGGGAUGGAAUUCCGCGUGUAGCAGUGAAAUGCGUAGAUAUGCGGAGGAACACCGAUGGCGAAGGCAAUCCCCUGGACCUGUACUGACGCUCAUGCACGAAAGCGUGGGGAGCAAACAGGAUUAGAUACCCGUGUAGUCCCUGUCUCUUAUAC
rnacentral:rRNA from 1 species